rnacentral:rRNA from 1 species
UACGUAGGGCGCAAGCGUUGUCCGGAAUUAUUGGGCGUAAAGAGCUCGUAGGCGGUCCGUCACGUCUGCCGUGAAAACCCGAGGCUUAACCUCGGGCCUGCGGUGGAUACGGGCGGACUAGAGGUAGGUAGGGGAGAAUGGAAUUCCCGGUGUAGCGGUGAAAUGCGCAGAUAUCAGGAGGAACACCGGUGGCGAAGGCGGGUCUCUGGGCCGAUACUGACGCUGAGGAGCGAAAGCGUGGGGAGCAAACAGG